rnacentral:rRNA from 1 species
AGAGUUUGAUCCUGGCUCAGGACGAACGCUGGCGGCGCGCCUAACACAUGCAAGUCGAACGGAGCUGAGAGGAGCUUGCUUUUCUUAGCUUAGUGGCGAACGGGUGAGUAACGCGUGAGUAACCUGCCCUGGAGUGGGGGACAACAGUUGGAAACGACUGCUAAUACCGCAUAAGCCCACGGCCCGGCAUCGGGCUGAGGGAAAAGGAUUUAUUCGCUUCAGGAUGGACUCGCGUCCAAUUAGCUAGUUGGUGAGGUAACGGCCCACCAAGGCGACGAUUGGUAGCCGGACUGAGAGGUUGAACGGCCACAUUGGGACUGAGACACGGCCCAGACUCCUACGGGAGGCAGCA